rnacentral:rRNA from 1 species
CCUACGUGAGGCAGCAGUGAGGAAUAUUGGUCAAUGGGCGCGAGCCUGAACCAGCCAAGUAGCGUGAAGGAUGACUGCCCUACGGGUUGUAAACUUCUUUUAUAAAGGAAUAAAGUGAGGCACGUGUGCCUUUUUGUAUGUACUUUAUGAAUAAGGAUCGGCUAACUCCGUGCCAGCAGCCGCGGUAAUACGGAGGAUCCGAGCGUUAUCCGGAUUUAUUGGGUUUAAAGGGAGCGUAGAUGGGUUGUUAAGUCAGUUGUGAAAGUUUGCGGCUCAACCGUAAAAUUGCAAUUGAUACUGGCAGUCUUGAGUACAGUUGAGGUAGGCGGAAUUCGUGGUGUAGCGGUGAAAUGCUUAGAUAUCGCGAAGAACUCCGAUUGCGAAGGCAGCUUACUAAACUGCCACUGACAUUGAUGCUCGAAAGUGUGGGUAUCAAACAGGAUUAGAUACCCUUGUAGUC